AGAGUUUCAACCAAUUCACAUUCCACUCACAGCAUGAAAGAGUUGCUGUUCCAGAGCUGUAUUGCUGUGUGCCGUCUCCUGAUGUCUUCUAUAGGAUAUUUACUUCUGUAUUCGCAAGUGACAUUAACCUUUUCUUUACCCUGGCCUGAUUUGGGGGAUGAAGAAGCCAAUCUGUGAGUCUAGGAUGGAGA